rnacentral:snoRNA from 1 species
AACCCAUGGUGAGGGCAUCUUUGCAAAAGGUCCUUGUAUCUCUCUGAUGCAUCUAGAGUGUUUCUAAAUCCAUCUGUACAAAAGAGGAGAUAUCAUUAUGUAAUU